rnacentral:rRNA from 1 species
UACGUAGGGGGCUAGCGUUGUCCGGAAUCAUUGGGCGUAAAGAGCUCGUAGGCGGCCACUCAAGUCGAAUGUGAAACCUCGAGGCUUAACCUCGAGCCUGCAUUCGAUACUGGGCGGCUAGAGUCUGGUAGGGGGAUCUGGAAUUCCUGGUGUAGCGGUGGAAUGCGCAGAUAUCAGGAGGAACACCAGUGGCGAAGGCGGCUUUCUGGCCUGUUCUUGACGCUGAGGCGCGAAAGCCAGGGGAGCAAACGGG